rnacentral:rRNA from 1 species
GACGGAGGGUGCUAGCGUUGUUCGGAAUGACUGGGCGUAAAGGGCGCGUAGGCGGCUCGUGAAGUCGGAUGUGAAAUCCCCGGGCUCAACCUGGGAAUUGCAUCCGAUACUGGCGAGCUGGAGUGCGAUAGAGGGGGGUAGAAUUCCUGGUGUAGCGGUGAAAUGCGUAGAUAUCAGGAGGAAUACCGGUGGCGAAGGCGGCCCCCUGGAUCGACACUGACGCUGAGGUGCGAAAGCGUGGGUAGCAAACAGG